AUUAAAUAUUAUUAUUUUGUUUAUUUUAAUAUAAAUAAUUAAUAUUUUAAUAACAGAUUAAUAGUGUUUAACUAUUUGAGAGAGAGCGAUAACAGGUCUGUGAUGCCCUUAGAUGUCCGGGGCUGCACGCGCGCUACAAUGUAGUGAUCAUUAUGUUCCUGUUUAGAGAUAAAUGGGUAAACAUUGAAAACAUUACGUAACUGGGAGUGAAAAUUGCAAUUAUUUUUCAUGAACGAGGAAUUCCAAGUAAACGUAAGUC
rnacentral:misc_RNA from 1 species